UCCGAAUUGGUGUAGUGGCUAACAUUUGACGCUCUCACUUUCUCCACAUCCGUGCGAGGCAACUGGUCCGUCAAGCCCGGGGUUCGAUUCCCCGAUUCGGAG